AACCUCAUUGAUUGGAAGGAAUUCCUUCCAAUCAAUGAGGAUGUUAUGCCUCAUCAACUGGAAGGAAUCCCUUCCGGCCGAUGAGGUU
rnacentral:miRNA from 1 species